UACGGGAGGCAGCAGUGAGGAAUAUUGGACAAUGGGCGCAAGCCUGAUCCAGCCAUGCCGCGUGCAGGAUGACGGUCCUAUGGAUUGUAAACUGCUUUUGUACAGGAAGAAACACCUCUACGUGUAGAGACUUGACGGUACUGUAAGAAUAAGGAUCGGCUAACUCCGUGCCAGCAGCCGCGGUAAUAU
rnacentral:rRNA from 1 species